rnacentral:rRNA from 1 species
UGGGGAAUUUUGGACAAUGGGCGAAAGCCUGAUCCAGCAAUGCCGCGUGUGUGAAGAAGGCCUUCGGGUUGUAAAGCACUUUUGUCCGGAAAGAAAUGGCUCUGGUUAAUACCUGGGGUCGAUGACGGUACCGGAAGAAUAAGGACCGGCUAACUACGUGCCAGCAGCCGCGGUAAUACGUAGGGUCCAAGCGUUAAUCGGAAUUACUGGGCGUAAAGCGUGCGCAGGCGGUUGUGAAAGACCGAUGUGAAAUCCCCGAGCUUAACUUGGGAAUUGCAUUGGUGACUGCACGGCUAGAGUGUGUCAGAGGGGGGUAGAAUUCCACGUGUAGCAGUGAAAUGCGUAGAGAUGUGGAGGAAUACCGAUGGCGAAGGCAGCCCCCUGGGAUAACACUGACGCUCAUGCACGAAAGCGUGGGGAGCAAACAGG